UAGCCAAUUAAACCAAACCCAAAGUGAGAAUUAUUGUAUCACUUUUUUUUCCUUUCAUCCACGCGCACUGCAGCCCGCCCGCAGGUGGCACUCUGAGAUCGUAUAUAAACACUCCCCCUUCUGCAUUGAUAGGUUAAAAGUGUGUGCGAGAAACGACUAGCUGUGCAAGACAUUAUUGGACUCACUUCUUGAUACCAGUGUAAUACUACAACCACUAUUGAUCGUCCGCUGCGUGUUGUGUGAGUGCGGCGUAUGCUAUAUCGAGAAGGGACGACGCGCGCAUUGAACGAUUAUUAAAAGCUGAGAUAAUUCAUCAACGCCAGGAUCGGCAGUAGUGGUAUCUCCAUAUUGGUCCAGCUUCAAGCACCAAAAACUCAACACAAUGAAUGGUCUUUGUCAUCUUCUCGCCGUGUCUGCGGUCCUAUGCUUGCUCCUUGCACUGGCAUCAGGGUACCCUCUCCAACAGGCCGCUAAUACGGACGGCCUGACAGAAGAAGUUAUGGAACGCCGGUCGGGCAAUAGUGCACAACAUCUCAGUUUUGACGAUCUCUUAACCAUCUUAGACCGCUACGCAGACGACAGACAGAGUACAGUUAAACGUCAGCAAAUGAGGUCAACGGGUCUGAACGCUAUUGACAACGUCCGGGGAAUGUGGUACAACGACCAUUUAAGCAAGUAUCUGGCAUCAGCCUUGAAACCAAACUCCAGAAGACGUUAAAGAUUCUGCUGACAGGUUCAACAGCUGAAGCUCGACAUUUCGCGGAGUCAGGACAUGACGUCAGGAAGGCAUAACGUUUUUAAUGGCGAAGAGACACGGUUCCUUAAGAAUAAUUUCACUUUGUUGUUUAUUUACUUAUUUAUUUGUUUAACAGUUUAUUUAUUUAAGAUCAGGGGGGUUAAUAUAAUACAGUAUCGAAAGUUUGAAACAAGAUGUGUGAGAACUUUGAAAACAAAGUUUAUUUAUUUUUACCGAAAGCCUAUAGUAGAUAAACUUGAAUUAUAUUAAAUUAUUAUUAACGGUUUUUAAAAUGUUUACUGUAAUAUUUUUCAAAAAGUGACUGCAGUCAGCUGUCAGCAAGUAUUUUUUGAUGAAUUUCAUUUAGCAUAAGUCGCACUACCUUUUUUUUCGCACUGAGGCCAUUUUUGUCAAAUGCCCUGACGUAUCCAUUAAGAUCAGUAUAUGAAUGGCUCAUCUUUCAUAGAGCACCAUACCAUUAUAGGUACCUGCCUCGAUAUGGACCUCAGAGACGUGUGUGACAUUAAGUCGGUCGUAACGGGAGAAAACAGGAAUAACUGAUUCUACACUGGCAUACUUUUUGAACGCUAGGUGGCAGCAGACUUACCAGGUAUAAUCCCAUUUUUCUUGUUAAUGUGCUCGUAACCGAUGGCGUUUUAAGUCUGCUGAACCCUAGCAUUCAAAAGUAUCCCAUUGUCUUCAAAUAACACCAUUACUAUUUUAAUAAUCAAUAUUGUUCUCAGUACUAGUCGCAUUUUUCUGCUUAGUGACAGUUUACUCUUCAACUUUAUUGUUCUGUAUUUCAUGAGUACACACAUUUCAUAAACUUCCCAUGUAUAGCUGGUGAAGAGGCCAGACCUUGUACAAGCUUAGGCUUCUUGUCUGGUCUCCCCAUACUAUUACUAAGUUCAGAUAAGUAGUUUUCCUUUAUAUUGUACUACCUAAUUGUGGUGUGGAAAUAAACCUGAAACCUGAAACCUCUAUCUGAAGCAGGUUCAACCUGGUCGAAGUAACCGUGACUUCUCUUUACCCCCAACCCCACUCCCACACCCGCAAACAAAAACUGAAAUCAAACCAAACCAAUCAUUAGAGGUAGAAACUCAUACACUUCGUAAAUGUAGCUCCCAAAAUAUUGCAGCAUUUGAAAUAAAUGAAAAUACAAAAAUUGUAAUUUCUUGCAAUAAGUAAGGCAGACAAGGUCCGAAAUGAUUAAACAGUUUAUCCAUUCACAUUUGGACAUCCGUGAAGAAAGGUAAAACGGUCUAAUGUCUACUGCUAACCAAUAAGUCACUUUUUACAAGUAAAAAUCAAUCAAAGAGGCAUAACCAAGAAGGGUAUUGCUUUGGUGACGUCGAUUUCAUAAUAUAAUGGUGCAGCCACAUUAAAUUAAAAAUAGAAUGGGUAUAUGACGCGCAUGUCCAGUAAUUUAUGAUAUAAAGUCAGGGUCAAUCCAAACAAACACACAAUUGCAGCUUUUUAAUUUCUACUCGAGUCAGAAAUCCCUUUUCUUUCAGGUUAUUACUUCUUAUUGAGUAUCAUGCAUAAGUAAAAUAUUGCAUUAUUAUCGACUAUUCCUCAUCGCCAUUGUUGUUUACCGCUUGACUGUACAACACUUGAACUGUAAUCCAAGAUGGCUGGCAGGUUUGUGACGUCAGUGAUGUGAAAUAAUUGGUCUCUACUAUAUUGACUACCAAAGUAGAGAUCAAUGUGUGAAAUAGACCUUUUCGCAAAUACUGGGGCGCGCGUAUAGUUUGGAAUUAGGUGCAUUGUGGUCUAGCUGGUGAUCAAAUUUGAUCCAUAUCUAUCCCAGAGUGCACCUCGUUCAACAGUCUGCGUUUGCGCAAUGGUAAUUUGCGAAAAGGUCUAUGUCUAGCUGAUUGGUACAUCCUCCAUUUUGUGUUUUAAGAAAUGGAAGGAUCCAACAAAUUUGAGUGUACAGCACACAACAGUUUUUGAGGAGAUGUGUUGUAACAGCAAUCCUUACAGUACCAAUAUAAAUUCUGAUCUUUCGUUAAUGUUUAUAUUUCAAUAGUGUUGUCUGUAUAAUUAAGAAAGGGAUUUUCAAACUCCGUUGAUUGAAUUGUAUGUCAAGAUGUAAAUAAUAACAUGUGUGCCAUUGAAUUGAAUAAUUCUAUAGAUGGUCGCCUACAUUUAGUAUGUUGUUAAGCACGAUAUUCUAUACAACGUUAUUGACAACAUUUUGUCCUGUGUUUUAUCAUCCACCUUUUAGUUUUAAAUUGAUUGGUUUACUACAUGCAGUGUACAUCAGGUGCAAAUGCAUGUCCUAGGUUUUAAGAAUUAAAUAUACAGUAAAAUUUAAGGUAGCUUUAAGAUUUAAGAAAGAGGUAUAUUUGACAAAUUUUAAGUGCAUUUUUGUUGUGGUGAAUACUGAAUGAUACAUCGUCUUUCGGUCCCAUAUUAUUAUGAAGAACUUAUUAAAAUACUAAACUUAAAACAUAGAUACUGGCAAUGUAUAUAUAAAACAAAAUACACGGUAGUGUUUAGUUCGGUCCAUUAAUAGAGUUUUCGUGUACGGUGUCGUGUGCAAAACUUAUUUUGGUUGUAGGUGUUUUUCACGUCGCUGCCGACUGCUGUUUAUGGAACAUUGCACUUAUCCAAAUAGAGAGGCUGAGAAGUAGACUGCCCCCUUUGGUGGAUUACCACUGUGAUGACCGUCGUGGUAUUCUAGGAACCAGACACAGUGAGGCAAUAAUACGGAAAACGUCAAUUUAAAACCACACAAACAAUGUUAGCGUAGAUUAACUAACUGAUUAUUAUGUUCUCUCAUGCAUUUUGGUGAAAUAAACGGGGUGACCACGUUGACAAAA